rnacentral:lncRNA from 1 species
GGGCUAUAGGUGUAGAAAUUAAUUUCUUUUAUUUCUUUGAAUUUGAAGAAAUUGGUUAGACGGGAGUAAGGGUAGCAUGGUGGCUGGAUCCAUUUUCUUUUCUUUUAGAAAGUAAGAGAUUUUUUUUUUUAUUUUAUUUUUGGAAAAGUACAUGUAUGUUUCGUUAGGUGCAGCACGCUAGAGAAUUUUAGGAAGCACAUGGCACGGUUUAGAAGCAUGCGACUUUACUUUUGGAGCUCCAAGCGCUGAUUUAAUUUUCACACAGCUACAUUCACUUUUAUUAUGGAGAGGAGACAUGAUUUUACCUUGGAGAAAAAGAAGUGCUUAUUCAGUUUAGAGAUGCAUCCGCCACCCAGAUAGACACACAUUUUCCAUUGGUUUAUUUUCCAGCAAUGUGACGCUAAAGGGCUGCACACGGUUUACUUCACAAGUUUUUUU